GUCGACACAGUCAAAGGCUUUUGCAUAGUCAAUGAAGCAGAAGUAGACAUUUUUCUGGAACUCUCUAGCUUUCUCCAUAAUCCAGCGCAUGUUUGCUAUUUGGUCUCUGGUUCCUCUGCCCUUUCGAAAUCCAGCUUGCACUUCUGGGAGUUCUCGGUCCACAUACUGUCUAAGCCUGCCUUGUAGAAUUUUAAGCAUAACCUUGCUAGCGUGUGAAAUGAGUGCAAUUGUGCGGUAGUUGGAGCAUUCUUUGGCACUGCACUUCUUUGGAAUUGGGAUGUAGACUGAUCUUCUCCAAUCCUCUGGCCAUUGCUGAGUUUUCCAAACUUGCUGGCAUAUUGGGUGUAGCACUAUAUGUAUCAAUAGGACAAGGGCUACCUUUCAGUGGUUGAGCAGGUGCUUCUUGUUCAGAAUGACCCACUUUCAUUGCCCAGCAUCUCCCGGUAAUAAAUGUCCUCAUCUCAGUCUGUGAAGAGCUGCUGCCAAUGAGGAUAGACAUUACUGAACUAGAUGGAACAAUGGUCUGAUGAUACUAAGUAUCUCCCUAAGGAAAAAAAAUCACCAGCCAGAUGAUGGGAUUGCACACAAAAUCUCAAACUCUUUUGUUUACUUUGUAUACACAUGGAGUACUGUUCCUCUUUUUGCUUUCCCUCUUAUGCAACACAGUGUAAGUAUACAACUGCCAAGCUAUUUUGUUUAGAACAUUUAUUAGACCUUGCCUUGUAUAGUAAAACUGAUAUAUUAACAUAAUCAAAAUUCCUUCCAACCCAAUUUCAACCCAGGCCAUUCAUGAUUCAUCAAAUCAUCCUGAACAUAGAAAAAUCUCCCCUGUCUAAGUACAUCUCACACCCAGACUCAGAAAGAAACAGUCUUGAGCUGUGUAUACCUACAAUAUAUAAUAAAGUGGAGCAUGGUGCCUUGAACUAUGUAAUUCUAUGAAGACUGCAGGGUGAUUUCUUUUCAAGGGAAGUUAAUAUACUGCAUAGGAUAAAUGGAAAUGUAAGGUUGACUUUGUGUAGAUUCUUUUGAUAUUUAUAUCGCAUAUGAAGAAUUAACUUUCUGAUAGUCUUAAUGUUGGCAUUUCACCCCUCCCAUUGCAAUAAUCUCCUGAUCUUUGUUUUACGCUCAUGUUAUGAUAAAGGAGUGGGUGGAAGCUGCUCUUUAGUUCUUCCGUCUCUUGCCUGAAAAACUUUUCACUCUUCUCUAGUAGAGAUAAGAUGGCUGCAUGGGAAUUGCUCUUCUCAGGUGUGUCUGUAGUGUUUUGUAGUAACUGGUGCAAUGGACUCACACCCUCUCAUUGUGAGUCCAUUGCACCAGAACCUUUUCUCCAGGAAUGCUGUCUUUGUUCCUGUGACCGGAAGGUCGGUGAAGGUGCUCCAGUUGCCUAGCCCAUGGACGUGCUUAAGACAUGGGCUGAACAGGGCGUACUGACACUUAAUUCAGAAUGUGCAACUAUUUUGGAAUCUUGUCUCUAGCUACAGCCAACACUAGAUGAUGCCUGUGAGAUAAGGGACAAGGGAUGAGUUAAUUUUUUAGAAAUCACUACCAGUAGUAACAUUCAGCCCAUUUCACAGUAUUUCCUAUGGUAGUUGCUGUGAUUCCACCACACUAACCCAGAGAAGUGCAUCAAAAUAUUAGGAAAUGCCAGAUUGUAUUAUUUUCAUAGUUAAAUAUGAUGCAGUUUCAUCAUGUGGAGAAAGAAUGCCAAUUAAUGCUGUGUGGACUAAAACACCUUUCCCUAUAAAUAGGCCCCGGAUUUUGGUGAAAGCCUAAGCAAAGGAGGUAAUGCUGUAGCACAUGGAGAUUGUUUGGUACUGAGGGGAAAAACCUGCACCUGAAGGGUAUGGCCUGAGAUGGAGAAUCUAAGAAAAUAAAUGACUGAAGUCAGGUGUGCAUAUUAAACUUGCCCUGAAGCAAUUACUCACAUAGUUAAUUGCCUCUGAUAAACCUGACCUUGGCACCAUUAUGGAAGCAUUAUACCAUUCUGUAAGGAAACCUUAUUCUAGAACUUUUCUAAGGACUAAAACUAAAAAGACUGUGCAUUUGUUUUAUGUUUUGUUUUGUGUGUGUGUGUGUGUGUGUGUGUGUGUGUGUGUGUGUGUGUAAAAUAUAUAGUGUACUGUACAUGCAAACCUGAGUUAUGUGUAUGCUUUUCACAAAAAGGAUGGCUUUGAUUUUAAGAUAUUGGGGUUCCUUGUUAUGAGGGUGUCUACGGGGCAAAUCUGUAUUGGGAAGUCACAAAAGGACUAAAAUACUGAUUGGCGGACCUAUAGUUCCUGUAUUUUCCCAUCAAAGAGAGCUUCAUAGCAAGGCAUUCCUGAUUGAGCCAGGGUUUAGAAUUGUGGGGGAAUAAUGACCACCAAAUUGCCUUUUUUGGGGGGGUCAAACACGGUUGAAGAAGUAAAAUCAAAUUCUGAAACAGGUUUAUUCUAAUUUCAGGGCAUGAGGGGUUUGUCUCUCCUAAUGAGGAAUUUAUCUGAGAGUAACCUCCUAGAUAUUUCCUCGUCCAGCUCAUCCGACCAUCUAAUACAUGAGAACGUCAACUUCAUGUCGGUGGAACUGGAGAUUUCAAGUUUGUCAUUGCAAAAUAAAUCCUUUUUGCAUCGAGGAGGAGAUGCAAUACAGAUUUGCCCCAAGUCGCAUCUUAAUUUUUUUAUAUAGGACCCAGUCAAAAUCCUAAUGGCACAAAGCAAAUGAUAACGUUUAGUGACCUUCCAUGCUAUCAGUUGAUUCUUAGUGGCUUUAAUAUUGAUUCCACCCUUACUCCUUAUCUUGGCAUUUGAGGAUAGGAAAUAUUUUCUACUCUCAACUUUUAAAAGUAUGCAGUGGCAUGUAUCAACCACAUAGGAUGUGGAGAGAACCACAUUCUGGAUACCACAAGUAGCAACAGGAAGGCUACACAAAUAGGAAUGCUGUGUGCAUUUUGUGGUAGUGUUUGCAUCUAUGUUUAUGUUUCAUCCUAACCACUGAAGUCAUCUUAGGUGAGAUGGUUGAGAAUCACUCCUAUAAUGCUAGUGGGUCCAGGUUUUUAAAAAAGCCUAAAAAGGCAUUAUUUGAAAUCAUGAAACCAUGUGUCACAUCAGGAAUAUAGGGUGUUCGUGAGAAUUUGAUGGACAAGUACAACUUUCCAAAUGUUGUUUGAUCAAUCUUAAACACCAAUAAGUUUGCAUGCUGCUUCUCUGUACAGUACAACAUUUUAUUCUGAAGUUGUACAGGGUCCAGUCUUGUGAAUUGCUAGCCACCUAAAAUUCACCUGAAAUUGAUUGAGUAUUAAGCUGCCAAACUAUAAGCAGGUUUACAGUGAAGGCCUUUUUAGAGCUUCUUAAGCAUAUCUUCAAAAUAGAUGUUGUUCUAACAAAUUAAGAAGAGUCAGUAAAAAUGAAUAAGUAUAAUUGAAAGAUUGAGUAUACCCACUCCCAUGUAUUUCAGUUGUCAAGCUAUUUUUUAAAAUCAUUAUUACUAAUAUAUGGACAUAUUAUUUAUACGGUUAAUUUAAACUUGGGCAGAAAGAAUUUGUCUCUCAUAUGGGUAUUAAACUUCUUGAAAAGCUGUUUUUAUUCAUUGAUUUAGCUGUGAAAAACAAACACAAAAUAGACAUAAGGCUAUCUGAACUCUUUAUUUGCCACAUUUACAAUAUUAAUAACACUCUUUCCAGAAGUUGUCACAUCAAGUAAAAGAUCUUCAUUCCAGACUGUCUUUUGGGGCCAAAUUGAGACUGGAUGCAUGCAUUUAAUAAAUUGUAGUCUCAAGUAGUCAUUUUUGUAAAUAAUUAGCUUCAGUGGAAGAAUAAGUUAGCAUAUUGUAUGCAUCUAAUGUUGCAAAUGUACACACUGCAAACUUUCCUAUUAAUCAACAGUCAAGCACUGUAAGUUGGGUCUCAUACAUAAUGAAUUGUGCUUAAGCCUCCUGGGUUUCAUUGAUAGAAAAAUAAGAGAAAACACAAGUGUAGUAAGCUUUUGAAUAAAAUUUAACUAGAUUGCUCUGCAUCCUGUAAUUGUUUUGGAAUCAUUGGGGACUAGACAAUUCAUCUGCAAUUUUGGGGGUAGUUUUGCCUUCAUCUAUCAAAGGAAGACUAUUUAAAUGACAUUAAGGUGUUGAUGUAACAACUUUUUAUUUAUUUCCACAUGGAAUGUUAAUAUGUGUUUUAUGUAUAUUUUACUCCAUGAUAUAUUAUCAGGAACAUUUAAAAGAUGUUGUGAAGGAUAUUUUAAUGCCACGUUUUAAAGUGUUAAAAAUACUUAUUUUUGUAUUUACAUUUUAAUUGUAUUACUCUUUUCAUAAGCCACCCUGGGAAUAUGAUUGAAGGGCAGUAUGAAAACACUGAUGAUAAAUAAGCAUUAUUAAAACUCACAUGAGAAAUGCAACGUGUUUCUGUUUAUUUAAACUUACAUCUGAUAUCUGAACAGAAAUAUGAAAUGUGCAAACUAUAAGGUGAUAAUUUUGCAAGAUAAGGAGUCACAUUUGCUGUAGCAGCCUGUGUCCCUGCAUGCCUUGUUUCCCUCCAUUUUCCAGACCCUGAAUUGGUGUCUGUAGUCUGCCUCACUCUCUGUGUGUGCCUGAUGCUGAAAGCUACCCUUGCCAUUCAAGAUGCUGUCGGUACCAUAGAGUUGGAAUCCACUGUGGAUGCCUCUGUGUCUUGUGAAGUAUGUGAAACCUCUAAGGAAACAGCGGAGCCACUGAAACAGUGUGUGGCUUGGUUUCAGGCCUAUUUUUGCGAACCCUGGAUGAUAGAGAAGCUUCCGGUGCCCCCUUUUCACCACCCGCUGCUGGAGAACGCUUCAUUCACCAGAGAAGUGUUGUGGACCCUGUUGAGAGAUGUGAAAUUUGGAGAGGCAGUUUCUUACAAGCAAUUAGCGGCCCUGGCAGGCAACAGCAAGGCAGCCAGAGCUGUGGGAGGAGCAAUGAGAAGCAACCCUGUCCCUAUUAUAAUACCGUGCCACAGAGUGAUUUGCAGCAGUGGACAGACUGGCAACUACACAGGAGGAAGUCAUCUGAAAGAGUGGCUUUUGUCACAUGAGAAGCUUCAGAAGGAAAAGUUAGCAUAUUGAUGCAGUUCAGGCACAGCUGUUAUUCAGCCAAAACACAUAACCAAAGAUACUUGGCUUAUAACAAGCUUUCAGAACACACAGUAGAAUUCAGGAAAAUGAAUGAAUUUGAAAAUGAACAGCCAAGCUGAAAUCUCUGAGCUGCCUUAUUUGCAGUGCUUCAGACUGUCUGCCUCAGGAAUUAGCUGUCUAGAAGUAUUACAGGCCUGCAAUCUUCAUCCCACGUACGUAUUGUGAAAGGUGCUGUAGUUACAUAGUAAGAUGAAGAAUGGCCUUCCUUUUGCCAGUGAUUUCCGAGAUUGCUAAUGAUGCCCAAACUACAACCUGGCGUGACCACUAAUGAAGAGGGCUGUGAUAGUAGAACCUCUAGGGAGUUCUCAUAGGAAAAGAAAUGAAUCCAUGCUGCUCCUUAUACAUGAUCUUAGCAUUCUUUCUACGUGCUGAUCAUGCUCGUGCCCUUGUAUGAUGUCUUAAUAAGUGCGCAGUAUCCUUAAUUUGGCGUGACUGCUCCUCACCAUAACGAAAUACUUAGCGGAACACAACCAAGAAUUUAGUAGGCGACAAAAUGGCAUUUAAUGCACCUUCGUAAUCUUUUGCCGUGCAAGGACUUGAGCUGAGCACAUAACAGCCUCGUAUACCACUGUGUUGUAAUCGUAGCAACACAACCAGAACAGAAACACUGACUUUUUUUCCGGCCUCCCCCUGUGGUGAGUUUGCCGGUAUAAAACCCGUAGUUUGUCCUCUGUCUCUGAGGGUUUUCUCUGUCCUGUCAUGAGUCUUGAUAUAUACCAUGAGGUUUCCUACUGAAGAACGCAGCGAUGGCAGCAUGGUUCAAGCUGGCAUUGUCUUAUGUGGCUUUAACUACAACUCCCAAGAAGAAACCCAGCAGGGAAACACAGUCACUUGGAAUAGUCAUGUGCUAUGUGCAACGACUCUCUAGCCUAGUUAGAGGGUCACAGCACAGUUUAUGAAAAUACAUAUGUAAACUUGAUUGUAUUUUUUGUAAAAAAAAAUACCCCCAAAAUGAAUUAAAGAAAACUCUGGAAACAAGAGAGCUAUGUUCCUUUUACUUGGAAUUGGGUUCCACUGACCUAUCAAGUUUCCUUCCAUUCAGCCUUGCAGUGCUUUGAACUGCUGACAUUGAGACACUGUGCAGCCAGGCACGACAGCUGGCUCGGCAGCAUCUAAUACCAACACAUGCUGUUUUAGCCCAUUUCCAGAGACUAAGAUAAUGAAAGAUUCAAAAAUAAUAUUUGUUUUGGUGGAACUACAUUUAUAAUGAAAUAGAUGCCCUUGACCAAGGAAGAAGCUGGAUUUUGCAAUGGGUCAUUUACCCACUUCCCUCUGUUCAACUCUCUUUUAUGUGUGUCACAUAAAAACUAAACCAUGUGGAAAUGUGUGGGUUUUUUGGCCAAGAAUAUAGUCGCACUGUAUCAAACUGCCCUGCAGGGUUGUUUGGGAGACAAAAGAUGGCUCUGGGCUAAUAUUUUACAUGAUGGGGUUGUUUUUUUGCAUGUCCGACAAAAGGAAUUUGCAAGUCAGGAUUUGUAAGCGCCUCAAAAUUCAUGAAAUCGGCAUCGGUCCCAGCGCUCAUGAUGCAGUGAAAUGUGCAUGAUGCAGUAACAUUGCUGAAUCUAAGCAGGUGAAACCACCUGGUAGCCCAUUGAGCUACACAAUGGAAGAAAAGUCGGAUAUAAAUAUGGUAUGUAUCUCUGUUCAAACUUUCAACCAAUUACACUUGCGAAAGCACUUUUUGGAUUUAGACCCAGAUCUUUCUUUCUUUCUUUUUUAUAUUAUGUAAGUAGUGGAGCAACUCAGAAUAGUAUUUCUAUUUAACUCACGCGAGUGGAGGGUGAGAUACCUACCGGUAAUUUUAAUCCCUUUUUCACUUCUGUUUGAUAUAACCUUUUAAUUUGCCUAGGUAAGAAUCAUGCAGUUCUCUAAGCAAUAUUAUUACUGUCAAUAUGAUAAAGUUAUAGACAUACUAAAAAAUGAAGAGUACAUUCGAACUACGUUUCCCUAUAAAUAUCAUGGAUCAUUACUUUUCAUAGUGUUUUUUCCACAACGUUUUGACAAAUGCUAACUUGCCGUAAUUUUAGAUUGUGCCAGAUGUAAUACUCAUUUGUGUUUUUAGUAUUUAUUUCUGAUUUUUACUUUCCAGGUACAUACUGUUAAAGGGAAUAAUUGGGGGCUUGUUCCCCACCUUUACUAUAAGAGUAAAACCCAUUAAAAAGAGAUUGCUUGAAGUACAGAAAUACAAAGGGAGUCCUGUAAGAUUUAUGUACUAUUUCAUGAAUAAUCGCACCGUAAAAAUCUUACAGGAAUGUAAAAAUCCUUGAAUUACAAUCAGGUUUAAUUGUAAUUCCUGCUAUAUUCUUGGUGAAAUUAAUCUAAUUGUAUUUCCUCCAUCUUCUCUUUCUUCCAUACAUUUCUAUAGGCCCUUUUUCCUGCUUGACUAAAACCGACUUUAAAAACUGGAAAAUAUUACUGAGAGCACUUUCUGUUGCCGUCAAAGUGGCAAGAUAUUUCAGUAACAUUGAUGUGCAAAUUGGUCAUACAGCUUCAUAGCUUGUCAAAAGGCUGUGCUGUUUUUGUUCCAAAAGCAUACAUAGUGUAUGAGCAAUAAAUAAAUACAUUUAAUACAGCACAUUGGGGGGGGGGCAGGCCCCCAAAUUAUUCCCUUUAACAAAUUGAAAACAUUGUGGGGAGUAGAAUGACACUGGAAGAACCCCCAAAACGCAGGCUCUCCUCCAUUUUUCCCCUGAUAGAUUUUAAAGUCCCAAGCAGUCCUUUGGUUCCUGCGUUUCCUUUUGCUUUCCUCCUUAUUGUUUUUUUAAAUAAGGAACAAACAUUCUAAUAGCACAAAUGCAUCGUAGGAUGUUUAAUUGUUUUUGCCUUUGUUAGCUAUGGUGCAUGUUGUAAUGAUAUCCCCCCAACCCCCACUCUGUUGGAAAGCUUUUGAUUUAGAAGUUGGUAUUUAAGAAGCUGAAGUUAACAUCAAUUUUAUUCUUUAUCAGCUUUGGAGACAUUAGGGUUUAAAAUGAGCUCUGCGCUGAAUGCUGAUCCAGACCAGCCUCUGGUCUGUGUGAAGUUAUGUGUAGGUGGCAGUUAAAAGCUGGAGGCCAAGAGCUGGAGAAAUUGCAGGUACCAAUGUGUCUUUAAGUGACUAAAGGCUGUAGUCCAAAGUCUUCUGGACGAACUGGCACCAGCUGCAGACAGAUGGAAAAUGUCUGGGCUCCAUCACCUUCAAGUCUGUCCCGACAAGGAUCUAUAUAUUAGGGUUGGCGAGUGGAUAAAGAAGUCAGCAAUGGUAGCUGUGUGGUAAGGUGAAAAUUGACGUGAGCACCAUAGACUGACAGUGCUUUUGAUUGAUGAAAGGAUAUUGUUAACAAGCCUUUAAAGUUUCUCAUUAAUGCUUCCACCACCCCCCACCCACUGAAGCCCCAAAGGAGGGGGGAGGGCUUCAUGCAGACCUUUAGAUAGAUUGCAUAGUUUGUGUUAUUUAAAUGCCUUGUUAAAUUGUUUUAUUUAAUGCUGCAUGUUUGCUUACCAUACACUGAAUAGCAUAGAACCGAGCUAUGCGAACAAAACUUGAAGUACCCCAGUCCUUUUUAGAUGCUGCAUGUUAAAUAAUGGGAUAUGCUGAACUUACAUCUUCAGCAUAGGAAUUUACAUAGCAGGGUUACACUAGAGACCAUCACCAUUAGUAGCUGCAAUGUGGCAGCAUCACUCAAAGCUGUUGAAUGCUGCAUUCUAAAUAGAGAAGGGGACAGAGUGUUGAUAGGCUUGGGGACUGCUCACCUAAGUGAAAGCUUUGCAGCCUUUUUGCCAGAGUGGAACCAUCUACAUUGUGUGACUUGACGUUGGCUAGUAUUUGGUAGUGGCAUUGCAUGCGUCAUGACUGGCAGACUAGAGGCAAGAUGGAACGUGAUCAUGGACAGCAAGUUUGCAUGCUGCUCAGUCUGUGUGAGGUGCGCACAGCUCUACAGGACCAGGUUGCCACCCUAUAGGUCACUUGACUAGAAGGUGGUAUUGCAGCAUAUCAGGGUCAUUUUCAGUGUUGGAAGAAAGGAUGCCAGAAACUUCCUCCCUGGCAAGCUACCAUGAAGCACUUGUGACGCACUGCCAGAAUUUCCAGCUCAAGACCUUGGUGCUUUACAAUGGAUACUGCUGCAUGGAAUUCAACUACAACUAUGAGUGGAGACAGAUGACAACAUGGUAAAUACGAGGACAUUUCUUCAAUGGUCUGGUUCACAUGACAUGGGUAACCCAAACGAUUGCAAGCUCCUUUACUCUUAUUGCAGGCCACUUUACCCCUCCCCAGUCUGUGUUCUGGGCUACAGCUCAUGAUAAGCAAGAAGAGAGUUCAAUCAUGAGCAUUGGUUCAGUUAUUAAUAACAAACUUGGUGUAGUUUAGUGUGCGGGAGUAAAAAAAAAAGAAUAGGGGGAGCGAUGUUAGUGUGAUCUAUCCAGGAGCCCAAAUGCCCAUGCAGUCUCAGUAAACCAUGGUUUGGUUUACCAUAUCAUACAACCCAGGCCAACAGAGAAUACUUUACUACUUGGUUAGUUGGUCAAAUUGGCCUUCAUUAUCCCAAGGCAUGCUCUAUUGUUUCAAUGAUGCUUAUAUUUUAAGACUGCCCAAAUUAAAUUGCAGGUGAAUAGAAAUAUCUGAUUCUGAUUCAUAACCAGUAUUAGUGAUCACAGUGUGCACAAAACACAGAAGAAUGACAGUCCCUGACCAGGAGGCUCCCCUGACCAUAGAGAAGAUAAGGUAGAAUGGAAAUCUCAAAUGCUGGUGGGGGCUAUAGUAUAGCAACAUCUAGAGGGCCUAAGAUAUCUCAUCCCUGCUUUAAAUAUUGACUGCCUUCAGAAUGUGAGCCACAAACUCAGGGUCCAGGUAGUAUACAACUUUCUUAUGUUGCUAAUCACUGUUUAUCCAAGCUUCCAGGCACCUAUGAGUUAACCGCCAGUCUAUUUCCACUCACACAAGUCUAGCCAUACCUCCUUGAUUUUUUGUGGGAUGGAAUAAAUAUGUCCCUUGGCUACCCAUAGCUUCGGGUACAUGGAUGAAGAGACCUUCUCUUGAGAAGAGACCUGCUGAAUCAGAACAAAGGCCCACCUAGUCCAGCAUCCCGCUCUCAUGGCAGUCAGCCAGAUGCCCAUAGAAGCCCACAAGCAGGUCCUGAGCACAACAGCACUUUGCUCCACUUGAGUUUCCCAGCAACUGGUAUUCAGAGGUUUCCAAUGCCAGAGGUAGUGUGUAGCCAUCAUGACUAGUAACCAUUGAUAGGUUAUCCUCCAUACAUUCAUCUAUACGUCUUUUAAACCCAGCAAACUUAGAAGGGACACUAUAGGUUGUUAAGAAUAUAAUGCUACUAUAUUAUGUUAAAAGGUUCAACUAGAUGAACCUGUCUGGGUUAUCGGCAUUAAAGGGAGGCAAUCAAGUGCCUAAUGCAGACUGCCUAAUGAGCUCACUAUCCAUGAAACAUUGGGAAGAAAGGGGUAGAAUGCUCUGCUUUGGGGAAUCAACAAACGCACUCCUGUUAGGUGAUGUGAUAUACUGCAGUAUUUUGUUGCAGGUCCCACUUGUAUUUCUUGGCUAUUAAGCCUGGGUAUCUACUCUUAACAUGAUUCUAAGUGGAAGUUCAUUUUACUUUAUGUUCUUGCCUAAUCAGUUGAUUAAACUACGGGUGAGAUAUUCUCUUUAUAUGUGGAUGGUUCUGAAAGUUGGGAGAGAACUCAAUAAAUCUUGCAUAGAUAUCUGAUCCAGUAUAAUUAAUGCUGAUGAGUAAUCUCAAAAGUGCUGCUGCCUUGAGGUAAACAAAAUGGAGCGAUAGGUGGUCCUUAGCUCUUGCUAUGCAGGGUGUCUUAUGAUGGGUUUAGCAACAGUGGUAAAGAUGUAGUAAUCCCAUUUCUGUUCUGGUUUAACACUGGCCAAUGGGGAUGCUGAACAAACAAGGAACACACAUUGAUUUGAAAGACUAAAGGUAUAGGUAACCUCUUCUUGUCUUUAAUGCUGUGCUGAAAUAGACCCUCCUAUUUCUCAAAAGUUUUCUUACCCUGCAAAUGUGAGGUUUCAGUUUUUCUGCCUUUUUCUUAGAGCACCUUAUUUUCCCCUUAUAAUUUUGGAGCUUCCCUUAUUGUUGCAAGGUGACUGAGCGGGGUUUUCUCUUUCUUUCUUUCUUUCUUUCUUUCUUUCUUUCUUUCUUUCUCUUGGGCAUUUCUUUCUCUUGGGCAUUUCUCCAGUGCUUUGCAGCCUCCUUGGCUGCCUGUACAUCCCGAUUUGAAAAAGCCUUAUGCAAUAAGUUACCUUAUUCCACCUUCCGCUGAGCUUGAAGCACGGGAGCCAGGCUUCUGAGUUCCAAAAAAUCAUUGCACCUACUGAUUUUGCUUUUUAAGGGAAGUUUUAACUAAAAAUAAAGAGGGGGGACCUUCAUUUGAAAACACACAUAGCCCAGCUGCCAGGUACUCAGUCGGCAGAGUCUGUACCAGUAGAGAAAUUAUUUGUAAAAUGAAAAAAGGGCACUCCUGGGCCCUUUGUGAGCACAACAAAAUCCCUGCACCCCAUCCAUGACAAUCUCAAAUGUAUCUCACCUUUUGUGAUUUUUGAAUGCAAUUUCUUAUCUCAUUAAUUGACUGAGAAUGGUCAAUAGGGGAGAAAAAAAUCAGCACAGCACUUAGUUUUCAUAAAAGAGGCAUCAAUCUAUUUUCCCAGAAUUAGAGAAGCUGGGUCAAUUGGACAAGUGUUGGUCAUUUGGAAAUGCAGCUGUAGACAGCUCUCCUUUUAGCCAUGAUAGGCAGUAAAAAUGACAUUUUCUUUCCCCUAUCUAGUUAUGCUUAUAUGGAUAACACUAUCAUUUCCUGUGCCCUGUGUUUUAAAGAUGUAAGCUUGAAUAGUAAGGCAACCAAUAAUGCUCAGUCAUUUUUAGUAAUGCUUAGAAAUCAUUUUGGUAUUCUUUAAUAUAUGAUGAAAUACCACAAACGCAUAAAUUGACUACAAAAUACUGCUUGUUCAUAUAUCAUGUAUUCAGGACAUCUUCCUGGAAGAAACUUGCAACUUAUAGCAGAAUUAGAGAUAUUUUUGGAUGGGAGUCUGGAGUUUAUUCUUUUCGGUGGAAAACAUUAGGGAAUUGUUUUAUAUUAAGGCACAGCAAGGUGGAAAACUUGAAAAAUUGAAGACAUAAAUGUGUAGACCACAUCAUCAAUUCACAUGAAUUCAUAGUGGUGGUGGCUGAAAUUCUUAAUCUUGUUUACCUGGCUCAAAUGUGGAAUAAUUUUGUUCAAGCAACUGGAGGACGUAUGAAGUUAAGAUAGCAGAACAAACCCAUAAUUGGUCUAGAAUAAUUGAAGCUACUGAAACAAGUUGUCUAGACAAAACUGAUAGUGUGUGAUCAGAGGCUGAACAAUAAAAUUACACUGUUUUAACCAAGGAAUAGUAUAGUUUUUCAUGAACUGACGUUCAAAAUAUUAUCUAGGAAAAGUCAUGAUAGGACUGUUUCCUAGAUCUGAGGACACAGGAGUGAAGGUCACAAAAAAAUCAUUUUCCGGUAUAUCGGUGGUUCUGGAAAUUUAAAGAUUUUUUUAAAGACAUUUUUUGAAAUCUAUUCCACCACACUGUUCUCAGCUCUGUACCAGAUGUUUUGUGAAAAAAGAGAAGAAGAAAUGAACGUUUAGUUUUAGUCUUGUAACAUUGUAGUAUUUUUUAAAUAUUUCUCCAGAGCCACUGGACACUUAGGAUACAAUAUUGAUAUACUGUUCUGUUAAAAUGACUGCCACAAUCGUUUAUGCUAAACAAGAAACUUGCACAUUUUACAGUCCUGGGCGUGGAUUCCAGUUUUAUGCCAGUAGAUAUCCUUGCUUUCUUUCCUUUUGUAUCAACUGUUGCAUAAAGUAUACAGAGGGAGACAGGCUUGGGCUUUGGUUGUCCCUAACAUUUCACUGCAAUAAUAUGACAUAAUAUAAAGUUCUGAAGGACCCCAGAAUGGCUGUUUGAAGCUUAGGUUUGGUAGCAGUAGUGAACAUGUUGAAUAUAAUUAGAUUUCUUUUAUUUCUUGUAAAGGAAAACAAGUGUGGUUGGGUUUCUGUUUUUUUGGCUUUGGUUCUUUUCUUGUAUCUGCACAUGCUGAAUUGUGAGAUGAUGGAAUGGUGUGAGACGUUCUUUAUAUGGUCACUUGACUGAUGGCUAUAACCUCACCUGCCACUCUCUGAAAUGAUCCACUGCCUAAACAGAUAGCACAGUUGUAGUAAGGCUGGGAAUGGAGUCAAUCUGCCUGAGGCUGCUCUCCAGAUAGAAUCCACGCAGACACCUGAGAUGGCCUUUCUAUCCAAACGAAAUGCCGAACGAAUUGCUCAUUUGUCUAAAGACCUUUCUAUCAUUACUAUCCUCAGCAUGACAUGGCCUAAUACUUUGGUUUAAAAUAUUGGUCGUUAUCUGCAGGUUUUUAUUUUAUUUUAUUUUAUGAGAUUCCACAAUGUCUUUUGUUGAGAGACUGAGCUGGCGCACAGCUUGAAUGUAGAAAUAUCUUUACUACAUUAAUGGGGAGAAGGAAGAGUCUCAUUCUAUUUUCCCAUCUUUCUUUCUCAUUGUGAGAUUUGUGCCAGGGUGACAAAGAGACCACCUGUCUCUGCAUGCCAGAUAUAUUUGUUGUACGUUUUUUAAACCUUCAAAUAACCUAAUAUUGCGGACGGGACGGGAUGAUCACAAUCAGUUCACUAGAUUUCUGAGAUUUGGGGGACAUCUAUGAAAAUCCAGAAAAUAUUUGAAAUAUCUUG